rnacentral:rRNA from 1 species
AAGCGCUUAUGACCAGACUUGUGCCGGGCGGAUCAUCCUGUGUUCUCACUGGUGCACUCCGUCCGGUUCAGGCCAGCAUCGGUUCUGGGGGGGGCAUAAAGGCCGCAGGAACGUAGCUCUUCGGAGUGUUAUAGC